AGCCUGCCAGUGACACAUGUUUAACGGCCGCGGUAUCCUAACCGUGCGAAGGUAGCGUAAUCACUUGUUCUUUAAAUGAGGACUAGUAUGAACGGCACCACGAAGGUUAUACUGUCUCCUUUCUCCAAUCAGUAAAACUAAUCUCCCCGUGAAGAAGCGAGGAUAAAUUUAUAAGACGAGAAGACCCUAUGGAACUUUAAACUAACCAGCAUUUGCUAUAUACAAAUUUUUAACUUUAGACAAUCUAGCCCUCUGACUGGUAAUUUUCGAUUGGGGUGAUCACGGAACAAAAAAUAACCUCCGUGUCGAAAGGAUAAACCUGAGCAAAAAGCGACAGCUUUCCGCACUAAAAAAUUAAUGACCCAAUAUUUUGAUCAACGAACCAAGUUACCCUAGGGAUAACAGCGCAAUCUACUUCAAGAGUCCCUAUCGACAAGUAGGUUUACGACCUCGAUGUUGGAUCAGGGUACCCCAGUGGUGCAGCCGCUACUAAAGGUUCGUUUGUUCAACGAUUAAUACCCUACGUGAUCU
rnacentral:rRNA from 1 species